AUACAGGGCGGUGUCGACUUAUGACUGCGGGUCCUAAAGUGAAAGCGCAUCAAAAUAUGAGAAAACGAUGCCGAGGGCGGUUGAGUCCCCGUAGGCACAGCCCUGGAGUGCAGCCACUCCGACAGGCGUCGCCCGCCGGGAAUCCCCGGACAGCUGGCCGGCGCAGGGCGUCCAGGAGGAGGGCGCGACUCUACUUUUCAGCAGAGCCACCGAGUAGCUGCUCGUCGGGGACCGCCACCGCCGCUGGCCUCCCGCCCUCCACUGCCGGACGCUGGCGACCGCUGAGGUCAGGAAAACAAUAAAGGAGCCGCGGGAAGAGGACGCCGCCCCCUCCCGCCGCCCCGGAGCUCGCGCGCGCAGAGGCCCUCACCCUACUCUGACUACACCCACAGUCCCUGUCUCACUUCCUAUGUGAAGAUGUACAAGAAACAAAUCAAUAUCCAGUGACAGGACAAGCUGUACAGCGACAAGAAGAGAAAACACGAGGUUAGACAUCUGGGCACUCAGCCUGGUCUCCUGACUCGAUUCUGUGUAUGGGGCAGAAAAUCAGAUUUGGAAUUUGUCUCUACUAGGAUCUUAAAGGAAACUUCGAUAUUAUGGCAUCUGAAUCAGAGAAUGUUUCCUGAACCCCGUAAGCUGGUGGAGAUGAAAACACCUUGCAAACUGCAUGGAAUGUUUCCAUCCUGGCUGUUUCAGUCUGCUCUUCUUCAGCAUCUCCAAAAUGAUUGUUCUGUCAUCUUUUGAGAAACCUUAGCUGUGUAGUCUUGCAGACACCUAUCUUCUGGAGGCCACAUUUCUUCAUCUGUAUAAUGUGCUUAGAACAGAAAUAUUUGGCGAAUGAUGAUUGCCACCAGCCCCCGUCAUGGACUGAGUCACAAUCAGAAGUCAACAGGAGGAGCAACUCCAGAUAGAAAUCAGAAGCAAGAUUAACUGUGAGCCCAACACUCUCUGAACCAGGGUUUAUUCCUGUUGUGUCCCUUCCAGAGACUGGGUAGCAGAGAGUUAAAAACAGCUCUAACCUAUUUUUCAAUGUAAAAAUGAAACCCGCAUCCCGGUAAGGGAGCCGGUGGGGUCAUGUUUGUGAUUGAGGAAUCAGAAGCUGGCCCUCCCGGCCCUCCCACGUACCUGGCCUUAGCCACGCGAUAGGAAGGAUGAGUCUCAGGAAUUACCAGGGUGGGGCGGGAUUAAGUGACCUGCCCAGAAUACAGAUCAGGUGACUGGAUUCUCCUGGAGCUAAUUCCUGUGUCCCAGGGCUGGAGAACAAUCCUUCAAGGACCAUCAUGCCUACUGAGAUGCAAGAACAGCAUUUCUGAACAGGUCAGCAACCAAACCAAAUUCCAAGUUCACAAAGGGAAAAAAAAAACUGGGAUUUAAGGAAGAUGGUGGCUUCCAAGACUUUUGAGAGCAGAACCAAGUAUUUCCUGUUUCAGGAUCAUCAGCAACACGGAAGGGAACCUGACACUGAAUAUCACCUAAUGUCAUAGGAGCCCUAGGUGACCCCAGCAGGUCCUGUGAUCUCUGGGGCCUGGUGAGGUUCCCACCCCAACAGACACCCUAGGUAGAUCAUGUUUUAAUUAUCCUGACUGCAUGUGGCAGGUCUGUGAUGCUGAUAAGCCCUACCAUUGCAAAGUACAGAAUGCCUGUUAUCAUGCAAACAUGUGGACUCUUGCUCCAAUAUGACAUGAAAACUCGAAUGGGAAAAUUUCCCAAAGCCGAAUUGCUAAUCCAGGGCCACAGAUGGAUUGCUAAUUGCCACACUGAAGUGGGGGAACAUUCUAUAAGAUGCAGGGCUCUUUCCAAAGUUGUGAGAGAAUCUGGGAAUGCAUUCAUUUUGGGCCUAAUAAUCUCCUUGGCCCAUGGGAUUCUUCCUCAGACUCCUGUAACUCACCUCUCCAACUCUAGUCAAGCUCUUCCUUAAGCCAGAAGCCACUGGUUCUCAUCCAUCAUGUCAUUUAUCAGAAGAGUUCAUUUACAUUUAAUAACCAGCACCAAUGCCUCAAGUGUUCAGGAGGACUCAGCACGGCAGCCCUCCACCAGCAGGCCCUGUGGACACGACGGGCAAACAAGGAGCAUUGGCUCUGGAGUCAGCGGCACUGACUAGCUGUGACUUUGGCCUUGUUACCUUAUUUCUCUGAGCCUCAACGUUGCCCCAUCUGUAAGAUGGAAAUGAUAACGAUUGCUACCUUACAGCUUCAUCAUAAGUCUUAAAAUGAAAUAAUGCACAUAAAGCCCUGAGCAGAGUGCCUGGCACAUAUUAAUGGACCCUCAGUGUCAGCGACUGUAUUCUUUAGUUGAGCCCAGUUCCCAAACUGUCCUGGCACAUUCAGAGUUCUCACCUGGACAGUCGUGGGUUCUAGAAUAACUUUGACUGCUACCUCUAGAGUAACUGUGACUGGGGUGGAAGUACCAUUGCAGGCUGGGAUCUUGGGGGAUUCGGUAUGGCUGGAGAGCACAGCCAUUGAUACAGUGCCGAAGAAGCAGAAGGGGCCUGCCUUGGAAGAACCCAGGGUUCCAGGUAAGAGGGAUGUGUGGGCUGAUUUUCUGUCACCUUGGCUGGGCUAAGGGAUGCCUGGAUAGCUGGUAAAACAUUAUUUCUUUGGGUGUCUAUGAGGAUGUCUCUGGAAGAGGUUAAUAUUUGAUUCAGUAGCCUAAAUAAAGACCUCCCUCCCCAGCAUGGGCAUCAUCCAAUCCAUUUAGGACCUGAAUAGAACAAAAACAUGGUGGCAGGGUGAAUUCGGUCUCUCUGCUUGAACAGAGACAUCCAUCUUCUCCUGCCCUCAGACACUGGCACCCCUGGUUCUGUGACCUUUGUACUUAGACUGGACUACCACCACUGCCCCUUCACCCCCACCCCAAUCUCAGACCUUUGGACUCAAACUGGAAUGCACCACCAUCUCUCCUGGGUCUCCAGCUUGCAGACAGAUCACGGCACUUCUUGGCCUCUGUAGCCGCGUGAGACAACUCCUAUAACAAAUCUCCUCCCAUCUUAUCUAUAUCUCUGUAUCUUUCAAUAUGUAUACAUAUCUUCUUUGUUUCUCUAGAGAACACUAAUAUAGGGAGAAUCCAAUUUGCUUUCCCAAGUGCACGCUACCCGCUCUCUUCCUGGUCACAAAAACAAACAAACAAAGAAAUAACCAGAAAUGGACUUAGACUGGAGCGGAACCGUGAUGCUUACUUGUCACUUUCAAUCAUCUCUGACUUCUUCAAAAACAUUUCAAUUUCACCUGAAAGCUGGCAGGUCUCCCACCGCCUCCAAGCCCCUCCCCCCAUAUGCAGACUAACAGCAGGGGCAGCUCUAAAAAUAGCCUGCCUUCACCAGACCCCCUAGCACGUAAAUACGUCUUUGUUCCCGCUGGCUUUUAAUAACUGUACUUUACGGUGAAACAAAAGCUGUAAUCAGAGCCCAACAAUGGAAGCCGCAGUCAGCCCUGAACAAUACUCAGAAUUCCCAUGGCGAUUCCCCAGCUGCAGCUGUGAGAACCAGCAGUCUCAGGCGUGAAUUCCAUUCACGGUUAUUCACCUAGUCCCACUGCUGCUCAUGGGGAUCAUGGCUUUCCUGCCUCCUCAGGGGGGCUUGCAAGAGGCUGAAAAGGGAUGCCAGGCCUGGGCCCCUGCCAAGAGCAGGCCAUGCAGGUGUGCACAAGGGGGUUGGCCCUGAGAAGCCAACACAGUGACUUGUGACAGAGCCGGGCUGCCCGGAGGCUGGAGACUGCAGCAGCCAUCGCCGCACCAGCAACUUCAUGCAGGACUUCCUUCAGAUCAAAGAGACCUGCACACUCAUUUCCUCAUCCAGCUCUGCAGUCUGCGCGUUCCAGGAUAAGCCCAGCAGCUGGCGAACCCUGCCAGGUUCGAAGCCUGGAACCUUGGAGAGAGGUCUUUAAGAGGGAGGCAUUACCCGAAGGGGUCCCAAGCUCGGCUGCAUUUGGGGAUCAUUGGGGGUACUUUCUAACAAUUCUUAGGACAAGAUCCCAGCCCCAGACCAACUGAAUUAGAAUCUCUGGCAAUGAGAAAGUGACAUUGGUAUUUUUUUCUUUUCUAUUUUUGUUUUGUUUUGAAGGAUAACUUAAAUUUGGUGUAAUUGCCUAAACCAUAUCCUUCCACAACCCCUAUGUUGAAGGCCCAUCCUCAAUGUGACUAUAUUCAGAGAUAGGGCCUUCAUGGAGGUAAUUAAAGUUAAAUGAGGUCAUAAGGGCGUGGCCCUGAUGCGAAAGGAUUAGUGUCCAAAUAAGAAGAGACACCAGAGCGCUGGCCCCUCCUCCCCAGCCCAGUGAAGACUCAGAGGAGGCGGCCCCCUGCUAGCCACCACGAGAGCCCUCACCAGGAACUGGGGCACGUUUCCACGUCUGUAAAUCGGACCUCCGGGCCUCCAGAACUGUGAGAAAUACAUUUCUGUUUAAACAA